GGGGAUAUGGCGAAAUGGUAGACGCAGCGGACUCAAAAUCCGUUGGUUCCAAAGGACCGUGAGGGUUCAACUCCCUCUAUCCCCA
rnacentral:tRNA from 3 species